CCGCCCUCCUCCCGAAACCGGCCGGGGCGAGUGGCUGCAAGAAGCUGCGGUUUGGCCCGCGGGAGAGGGGGGCUUCCCCGCUGGGGUUGUCUGACGCGAACGCCUUCCUGGCCCCAGCCAGGCGCCCUGAGAGAGCUAAUGCUGGCAGCUGUUGGGAUGUCCUCUUCCAGGAAUGGUGAUGAGUUUCCCUGGAUCCAGCCCUGGCUUGGCUGAGAUGAUGAAGGUUUAAGAAGCAGCAUCAUCAGCGAACUGUGUUUUGAAGAUUUGAGGGAAGGGCUGACCUCAGGAUUUUAUACUAGGUAUUUGAUGCAAUGCAGACUGGAAUCCUCCCCACAAGGAUGCCCUGGCCUGAGUGGCACAGAGAUCAAUGCAGCAGUCAUUUCCUGGGCGGGGAAAGCCCAUCCACAGUGGCCCUGGAAUGAUGCUGGUCUUACCUUCUAUUCCUAGGAAGGCCCUAUCUCAAGUGGCUCUGGUCCAUGCAAACAGAUGGAAACGGGUGUGGGGAAGCACAGGCCUCCUACUCAUGUUAAGAGAGCUGCUCAGAGGCAGGAAUCCAGAACCAGGAAUGUCCCCAGUGGCUGCCCAAGGUACAAGUGGCAGGCAGCGGGGAGAAUGGCAUGUGAAGUCAUUUGUAACCUGGCCCCAGCUUGGUUUCCAAGUCUCAGAGGAGAUUAUGGAUAUGGUAGUGCCUGGCUCAGUGC
rnacentral:lncRNA from 1 species